CUGUCAAAUCACACUGAAAACACCAGUUCUCAUUUGAUUGCUGAAGUUAAGCUAUGUUGAGCUCAGUUAGUACUUAGAUGGGGGACCAUUUGGGAACACCAGGUACUGUAAG